AAAAUUCACCCCAUGGAACAAAGAUUUGUCAUCCCAGAGGAUAUCAAUAGUUGAAGAAAAAUGAAAAAGUUCUAUGAAGCAUAAUGUGGAUCUCAACAGCAACUAGAGAGCUGCUUUAGAGUAGAUGAAUGCUAUUAUUUGGGGAUAGGACUAAGGUUAAGUAACAGAUUCGCAGACCCACAAAUAUCUAAAUAGUCCAAAGAAUGUGUCAUAAGCCCUGAAGGCAAUUCUGAAAAACAGAAUUCCAAUCAUAGAACAAAGGAAAAGUCUCUAGUGAGAAGAACUCAUUUCCAGAAGAUGCUACUGUGAUAGAGGAAUAAUCCAGAGACUUUUGAAUGACAGAGCCUGGGAGAAAUUGCAAGGAUUUCCAUCCACAGGGGGGAUGGUUGAGGAGGCUUGGAAUGUUGAGGGAAGAGAGAUUCCAGGUGGGAGGCAGUUGAUCUCUCUCUCUCUAUCUUGAGAUGGCAAAGAUACCAAGAAGUGUGGCAGAAACCUGAGAAGAGUAAGAACAGCAUAACAAGAUCUCACACAGCUCCUGUGACACCCUGGGUCUGGACAUUGGCUCUGCUGUGACAAAGACCAGGAGUCACAAACCCUGAAUCUCUCAGAGCCAAGGCUGUUGCCUUCUUAUUGGAAGUGAUCAUAAACUCACCGUUAAGUGACCUUCAUGAUGAUCAGGAAAAUGAAUGAAUAAAUAUUCUGUAGCUACCAGUUGCAUUAUGGAGUCACCCAGAAAUUCCAUUCUCUGAUUAUGGCCUCUGAAAAAUGAAACAUCAAAUAAAGAAGAUCAAUAAGCACUCGGUAUGAAAAGAAAGGAUGAAAGAACAUUUAAGAGUAUAAAUAUACUUGGUUUAUUUUGAAACAUAAAUGAAUAACUAUUAAUCAAAAGAAAAUAA